ensembl:snoRNA LOC120103366 small nucleolar RNA U3
AAGACUAUACUUUCAGGGAUCAUUUCUAUAGUUCGUUACUAGAGAAGUUUCUCUGACUGUGCAGAAGAAAUAAUUAUAAGUGGAACCUUGAUAAAUCAGA